AAUAUAUCUUAUGGUGAAAAUGCCCGGAGCAAGAAGGCAAAGCAUCAUGAAGAGGAUAUUGGGAGCUCUGCUGGGGCUCUUGAGUGCCCAGGUUUGAGGUGUGAGAGGAAUACAAGUGGAGCAGAGUCCUCCAGACCUGAUUCUCCAGGAGGGAGCCAAUUCCACGCUGCGGUGCAAUUUUUCUGACUCUGUGAACAAUUUGCAGUGGUUUCAUCAAAACCCUUGGGGACAGCUCAUCAACCUGUUUUACAUUCCCUCAGGGACAAAACAGAAUGGAAGAUUAAGCGCCACGACUGUCGCUACGGAACGCUACAGCUUAUUGUACAUUUCCUCUUCCCAGACCACAGACUCAGGCGUUUAUUUCUGUGCUGUGGGGAUAACUAUGGUCAGAAUUUUGUCUUUGGUCCCGGAACCAGAUUGUCCGUGCUGCCCUGUAAGUACAGUUAAGUGGAGAUAGAA
rnacentral:lncRNA from 1 species